UACGUAGGGACCAAGCGUUGUUCGGAUUUACUGGGCGUAAAGGGCGCGUAGGCGGCAUGACAAGUCACGUUGUCGAAAUCUUCGGGCUUAACCCGGAACGGCCAAGUGAUACUGUCGCGCUAGAGUGCAGAAGGGGCAAUCGGAAUUCUCGGUGUAGCGGUGAAAUGCCGUAGAUAUCGAGAGGAACACCAGAGGUGAAGACGGGUUGCUGGGCUGACACUGACGCUGGAGGCGCGAAAGCCAGGGGAGCAAACGGGAUUAGAGUACC
rnacentral:rRNA from 1 species